UUAAGUUAAUAAGGGCGCACGGUGGAUGCCUUGGCACUAGGAGCCGACGAAGGACGUGACAAACGACGAUAUGCCUUGGGUAGCUGUAAGUAAGCGAUGAUCCAGGGAUUUCCGAAUGGGGGAACCCAACAGGUAAUACCUGUUACCUACAUCUGUUAAGGAUGUGAGGAGGAAGACGCAGUGAACUGAAACAUCUAAGUAGCUGCAGGAAGAGAAAGCAAAAGCGAUUGCCUUAGUAGCGGCGAGCGAAACGGCAGAAGGGCAAAACCGAGAGUUUACUCUUCGGGGUGUAGGACUGCAAUGUGGACUCAAAGAUUAUAGAAGAAUGAUUUGGGAAGAUCAGCCAAAGAGAGUAAUAGCCUCGUAUUUAAAAUAGUCUUUGUACUUAGCAGUAUCCUGAGUACGGCGGGACACGUGAAAUCCCGUCGGAAUCUGGGAGGACCAUCUCCCAACCCUAAAUACUCCCUAGUGACCGAUAGUGAACCAGUACCGUGAGGGAAAGGUGAAAAGCACCCCGGGAGGGGAGUGAAAUAGAACCUGAAACCGUGUGCCUACAACAAGUUCGAGCCCGUUAAUGGGUGAGAGCGUGCCUUUUGUAGAAUGAACCGGCGAGUUACGUUAUGAUGCGAGGUUAAGUUGAAGAGACGGAGCCGUAGGGAAACCGAGUCUGAAUAGGGCGCCUUAGUAUCAUGACGUAGACCCGAAACCAUGUGACCUACCCAUGAGCAGGUUGAAGGUGCGGUAAGACGCACUGGAGGACCGAACCAGGGCACGUUGAAAAGUGCUUGGAUGACUUGUGGGUAGCGGAGAAAUUCCAAACGAACUUGGAGAUAGCUGGUUCUCUCCGAAAUAGCUUUAGGGCUAGCGUCGACAUUAGAGAUUCUUGGAGGUAGAGCACUGUUUGGGUGAGGGGUCCAUCCCGGAUUACCAAUCUCAGAUAAACUCCGAAUGCCAAUGAAUUAUGGUCGGCAGUCAGACUGCGAGUGCUAAGAUCCGUAGUCGAAAGGGAAACAGCCCAGACCACCAGCUAAGGUCCCAAAAUAAUUGUUAAGUGGAAAAGGAUGUGGGGUUGCACAGACAACUAGGAUGUUAGCUUAGAAGCAGCUAUUCAUUCAAAGAGUGCGUAAUAGCUCACUAGUCGAGUGACCCUGCGCCGAAAAUGUACCGGGGCUAAAACAAUUUACCGAAGCUGUGGAUACCUUUAUAGGUAUGGUAGGAGAGCGUUCUAUGUGUGAUGAAGGUAUACCGUGAGGAGUGCUGGAACGCAUAGAAGUGAGAAUGCCGGUAUGAGUAGCGAAAGACAGGUGAGAAUCCUGUCCACCGUAAGACUAAGGUUUCCAGGGGAAGGCUCGUCCGCCCUGGGUUAGUCGGGACCUAAGGAGAGACCGAAAGGUGUAUCCGAUGGACAACAGGUUGAUAUUCCUGUACUAGAGUAUGUAGUGAUGGAGGGACGCAGUAGGCUAACUAAAGCAGACGAUUGGAAGAGUCUGUCUAAGCAGUGAGGUGUGAAUUGAGUCAAAUGCUUAAUUCUAUAACAUUGAGCUGUGAUGGGGAGCGAAGUUUAGUAGCGAAGUUAGUGACGUCACACUGCCAAGAAAAGCUUCUAGCGUUUAAACAUACUCUACCCGUACCGCAAACCGACACAGGUAGUCGAGGCGAGUAGCCUCAGGUGAGCGAGAGAACUCUCGUUAAGGAACUCGGCAAAAUGACCCCGUAACUUCGGGAGAAGGGGUGCUGACUUAAAGUCAGCCGCAGUGAAUAGGCCCAAGCAACUGUUUAUCAAAAACACAGCUCUCUGCUAAAUCGUAAGAUGAUGUAUAGGGGGUGACGCCUGCCCGGUGCUGGAAGGUUAAGAGGAGUGCUUAGCGUAAGCGAAGGUAUGAAUUGAAGCCCCAGUAAACGGCGGCCGUAACUAUAACGGUCCUAAGGUAGCGAAAUUCCUUGUCGGGUAAGUUCCGACCCGCACGAAAGGCGUAAUGAUUUGGGCACUGUCUCAACGAGAGACUAGGUGAAAUUUUAGUACCUGUGAAGAUGCAGGUUACCCGCGACAGGACGGAAAGACCCCAUGGAGCUUUACUGCAGUUUGAUAUUGAGUGUCUGUACCACAUGUACAGGAUAGGUAGGAGUCUAAGAGAUCGGGACGCCAGUUUCGAAGGAGACGCUGUUGGGAUACUACCCUUGUGUUAUGGCCACUCUAACCCAGAUAGGUGAUCCCUAUCGGAGACAGUGUCUGACGGGCAGUUUGACUGGGGCGGUCGCCUCCUAAAAGGUAACGGAGGCGCCCAAAGGUUCCCUCAGAAUGGUUGGAAAUCAUUCGCAGAGUGUAAAGGUAUAAGGGAGCUUGACUGCGAGAGCUACAACUCGAGCAGGGACGAAAGUCGGGCUUAGUGAUCCGGUGGUUCCGUAUGGAAGGGCCAUCGCUCAACGGAUAAAAGCUACCCUGGGGAUAACAGGCUUAUCUCCCCCAAGAGUUCACAUCGACGGGGAGGUUUGGCACCUCGAUGUCGGCUCGUCGCAUCCUGGGGCUGUAGUCGGUCCCAAGGGUUGGGCUGUUCGCCCAUUAAAGCGGCACGCGAGCUGGGUUCAGAACGUCGUGAGACAGUUCGGUCCCUAUCCGUCGCGGGCGUAGGAAAUUUGAGAGGAUCUGCUCCUAGUACGAGAGGACCAGAGUGGACUUACCGCUGGUGUACCAGUUGUCUUGCCAAAGGCAUCGCUGGGUAGCUAUGUAGGGAAGGGAUAAACGCUGAAAGCAUCUAAGUGUGAAACCCACCUCAAGAUGAGAUUUCCCAUGAUUAUAUAUCAGUAAGAGCCCUGAGAGAUGAUCAGGUAGAUAGGUUAGAAGUGGAAGUGUGGCGACACAUGUAGCGGACUAAUACUAAUAGCUCGAGGACUUAUCCAA
rnacentral:rRNA from 1 species